rnacentral:rRNA from 1 species
GAUGAACGCUGGCGGCGUGCCUAAUACAUGCAAGUCGAGCGAACAGACGAGGAGUUUGCUCCUCUGUCGUUAGCGGCGGACGGGUGAGUAACACGUGUAUAAUCUACUUAUCUGACUGGGAUAACUUCGGGAAACCGGCUCUAAUACCGUAUAAUAUAUUGAACCGCACUGUUCAAUAGAGAAAUACGGUUUUGCUUUCACUCAUAGCCUGUUCCGCGCCGCAUUAGCUAGUUGGCAAGGUAACGGCUUACCAAGGCAUCGACGCGUAGCCGACCUGAGAGGGUGAUCGGCCACACUGGAACUGAGACACGGUCCAGACUCCUACGGGAGGCAGCAGUAGGGAAUCUUGCAGAAUGGGCGAAAGCUUGACAGAGCGACGCCGCGUGAGUGAUGAAGGUCUUCGGAUCGUAGAACUCUGUUAUGAGGGAAGAACAAAUGUGUAAGUAACUAUGCACGUCUUGACGGUACCUAAUCAGAAAGCCACGGCUAACUACGUG